ACGCUCGACACCUACGGGAAGCAGCAGUGGGGAAUAUUGCACAAUGGGGGAAACCCUGAUGCAGCGACGCCGCGUGGAGGAAGAAGGUCUUCGGAUUGUAAACUCCUGUUGUUGGGGAAAAAGAGGAUGGUACCCAACAAGGAAGUGACGGCUAACUACGUGCCCGCAGCCGCGGUAAUCUGAGCGGGCUGGCAAGGC
rnacentral:rRNA from 1 species